rnacentral:lncRNA from 1 species
ACCAACAUAGGACGGGUACUUACUAUCUGCUGGAUUCAUGCUCUAAGAUGCCAAGAUCCAGAAAAGACAUGGUCUGUGCCUUCAACACCUACCCUUACAGAAGCAGAGGAGACAGAAGAAAAUGGCCCACUCUGAGCAUAGGACCAUGGUCUACGCCUAGGCUUUUGGGUGGUGUGCAGUCACUGGACACUGCUGAAGUGUGUUUGGGAGAAAAAAAAAGUAAGACAGAGCAAGAUGCAAAUGGCAACUCCAGCUGCUUGUAGUAGCGACUCCACUAAUGUUCCUGAAAGGUUCGCAGAGUCAAUUCAAUCAAUCUAAGCUGCUUCUAUUCUCAGCAUGAGCAUGGUGAGGGAGGGGCUGGGGGAUAUCAUUAGCUUUCUUCCUUUGAGGUUUGGAUGAUCAAGACAAUGAAAAUAAUAGUAAUGUAAGUGGAAAGUGCUUUAAAAAAAAAAAACACAAAGCACAUCAGGAAGCAUGAGGCUAGCUGUGUGCUCUGCCCAGAGAGGUGUUUAUCCUUUUGGAAGGGCAGGCAUCUUCUGGAAACCGAAACUGAACGUGUGUGGAUUUUGUUGAUUUAAUAGAUGAUUGUGAAUGCACUUCUAGAACACUCUGCACAUGUGUACUAUUUGGCUGUGUUUCAACUAGCUUCUGUGUGUGUUGUUCAUGCACAUGUGAAAAUAAAUAUGGUGAUUAGGAGAAGUCCAGGGAGGAGGUUAACUUUUGAAAUCAGAAAUCAGAAUACCCAGAGUCGAGCUGCCGCCCAACCCCUGUAAGUACUUGGGCAAAACGCCUGAUCUUUCUGAGCCUCAGUUUCCUCAUGUAUAAAAUAGGAAUGAUGUAGAGCCCAUCAAUACAAGGCUCAGGUGAGGUGGGUCACUUGUGUGGAAAUGCUUUACGUUUUGGAAAUUGCUCACUAAAUACUGGUUGUUAUUGUUAGAAAGAAAUGUCCACUAUAAGGUCCUUGCUUAGCAUCUGGGCGGCCAUCUUAAAUAGCAGCCAGCAUUUUAAGGAAAAAGUUUCGCUUUUCCAUGAAAGGGUGUUUCUGAGAAAGGCUCCCCACUCCCUCACACCAACCCAACCUCUAACUGUCCCCAUUAGGACCAGCCUGGCUCUGAUUCCUGAGCCUGCCCCAUAAAAGUCCCAGCCUGUCUUGCCUCUCUCUGCUAUAGAGAGAUGGCCUUUGUCAGCUAUGACCAAUAAACUCUCGUGUGGAUCUCUGC